UGACGAUCCACGCCGUUAAACAUUAUCUAGAGCAUUUAAAACAUCUAGAAAUCAAAUUUUAUAAUUUUUCGACGUCAUUUACCUUACGAUCAAAAUGUCACAAAAUUGACAAUUUUUAACGGUCGGUAUAGGAUAUUUGCUAGUCUAACAGUGUAAAAGAAUCGAAAUCGGUUGAAUUUUUGAUAGAAAAUUCUAUUCACUACAUAGAUAAAGAUCAAUAACUCUGAUCUUAAAUUGAAGGAUCCGAUCAUCCAUUUUUAAGACAUCGUUCGAUUUUGACCGUUCAUUUUAUACUUGCUUGAUGAACUUUAUUAUAAUUUCGAAAACUUACGAAAUUUAUUUUCUAGGAGUUUCAAAUACUCUAGAUCAUAUUUAACGAAGUGGAUCGUCGAUUCGGAAGCACCAUCAUUGAAAACAACUUAUGAGUAUGAAGGGCUCUAUACUCAUAAGAGUAUAGUAGCCCUAGCCUAUAUAUAUAUAUAUAUAUAUAU
rnacentral:lncRNA from 1 species